AUCAUGUGGGGAUCUUGUUAAAAUGCAAAUUUUGAUUGCGCAGGGCUGGGAUGGGUCUGAAAUUCUGCAUUUCUAACAAGCUCCCAGGUGAUGCCAU
rnacentral:pre_miRNA from 1 species